GGGUGUCCUCUGCGCGCCAGAUGGCCAGGGAGACAGCAGGUCACACUUCCCAGCAGCAGAUGUCGCCAAGAGCAGGAAGCUGAGGGCCAGGAUGGUGAAACCCUGGCCCGCUAUGAGCAACAGCAUCAGGAUCCGGGGCACAUCCCAGCCCGUGUGAGGGACACAGCGAACAGGAGAGGAGUCCGUGGAGGCUGUGAUAAGAAAUUCUCCGCCACCUCAUGUGCCAACCUCAGCGGAGAGCGGCAGUGCUGUCCCGCCCACACAUGGACAGUUAGCUCCAGUCACCUCCAGCCACGGCUGCUACGGGAGUAAUUCACCUUCCCAAGCAAAAUAAAGUACUGGGGCUGGGGAUUUAGCGCAGUGGUGCCU